CAUCAGCAGCAGCAGUAACAGCAGCAGCAGCAGUAACAGCAGCAGCAUCAGGUCGUGACCCCACAGCUGUCCAACACAGAGUCCAACUUUCACUUCUCUCCAAAGUUGAGUAAAAACAGACUUUUAUUGUGAAACAAACACUGACUCCUUUAUUCUGAAACGUUUCAACCUCUUCCAGUGAAGAUGACCCUCACACUUUUCUUCAGCCAACUAACUAACCAGCACUAACCAGCACUAACCAGUAGUAACCCUAAAGUGUAGCAGUCAAUCAUCAGCGUGUGAUUUUCUUCUUCUCUGUUUCAGCAGCACAGCCACUGAGCCUCAACCACCUCUGUCCAACUGUCCAACUGUCCAACUGUCCAACUGUCCCACUGUCCAACUGUCAGGUGACAGUGAUUGACAGGUCUGAUUUGGUGACAAAGUCCCAGCUGUUGACGAAGUGUGGGAUGAAUAAAGGAAAGGAGGUUAAGUCAACUACCUGUCAUUGUGACACCCCACUGCACCACUGCACCACUGCACCAUGUAACUUCUGUUUUCAACCCAUCACCAACAGCCAGCAGGGGGCAGCUUUAAGCGUCAGUAUGUGUGGACGGUGCCUUGCUCAGAGGACCCCAGUGGUGACUGGGCAGCUGAUAGACUCGAACCUGAAACCUUCUGGACCCAGGUCCGCGUCCUUAACCACUGAGCCCCCACUGCCCUAACGUUCUGUUCAGGUUCAUCUUUAAGUUCUAAAAAUACGACCAAUUCUUUUUUUUUUUUACUAUUUUUGUUCCGCCUGAAUUUCUCUGCCAGUACCCUAGGGGGCGCGAGCCCCAUGUUGAGAACCACCAGUUUACAUGUCCACGUCCAUGUUUACGGCAGCCUCUCCACUCAGAGCUCGGCCGUGUGCGUGAGAGUGAACUCGUGAUAGUGGAAGGCUGGGGACGGAGCCAGAGUUUGGACCAACUGCAGCACGGACCGCAGGGUUCUACCUGUGCACGGACCGACACGGACACGGACGCGGACGCGGUGAGUCCGUGUCACGGCAGCAGCAGCAGCAGCAGCAGCGGCGGCUCGUUCGCUGCAAAACUUGAAUUUAAAACCAAAGAACCGAGUCCUUGAACGCAUCACGCCUUCGUAUUUCUGCCGUUAUUGAACGUUUAAUCCGCUGCGGUUUAAACCGGACCAGGUCCGUGAAGUCCCGGUGCGUCACGGCGGACCGAAUCAGUUCCCUCUUCUGCUACACGACUCCAGGAACACGAGAAGAACUUCUGUCCUUCUGUUCUCCCAUUGGUUCCAGACACACAAGUCACUCUGAGCAGUUCCAGUGACAACCUCCGGGGACAGGACUACAGAUGUACAGAUGUUCCUGUGAUGUGUUCUGGAGCACUGAACAUCCCAUAAUAGCACAUCAUCAUCUACCUGCUGAUACUGGUCCAUCUGUCCAGGCAGCUGGUACUCAGACUGGUGCUGGUACUGUAGAGAGAACCAGGUGAACCAGACGCCGCGUCCCAGGAUUCCUGGAGGUGGAAGAAGUUCUUCAAUUAUUUAAAAAGCUUCUGAUGAACAGCUGCAGUUCCAGCUCAUCUCCACUGGGAGAAGAACCUGGGACAUGGAGGGAAGAGACGUGCCGAGAAGUCUGAUCAUCUCCAGUGAAGACCCUCAGUUUGACGGUGGUCUUCACCAGUCUUUGUUUCACCACAGACCAGGAGGUUUUCAGUCUGUAACAACAGACAGGAACAACAGACAGGAACAACAGACAAGAACAACAGACAGGAACAACAGACAGGAACAACAGACAGGAACAACAGACAGGUUUCACAGUAAAGACUCAACGUUGUUCAUGUCAACCACAGCACGCACGUGUGUGUGUGUGUGUGUGUGUGUGUGUGUGUGUGUGUGUGUUUGGACCAUGUAAAUAUGAGGCCGAGCCAACAACCAGGCCCAGGAAGGAGAGGCCGCUCUGGGAAAAGGAACAAACAGAAUGCUGGGAAAACUUGGACUGACUGACCCUGGAUCAGGG